ensembl:lncRNA
CGUCCAUAAUGGACAAGUCUACAGAGACAGAAAGUGAAUUAGCAGUUGUGUCGGGCCAGGGAUGGGCAGAGGAAAGCAAAGUGAUCACUGUGGCACAGAAGUUAAAAUGUCUACCUGCAAUGUGGGAGACCUGGGUUCGAUCCCUGGGUCGGGAAGAUCCCCUGGAGAAGGAAAUGGCAACUCACUUCAGUAUUCUUGCCUGGAGAAUCCCAUGGAUGGAGGAGCUUGGUGGGCUACAGUCCAUGGGUUGCAAAGAGUCGGACACGACUGAGCGACUUCACUUUCGCUUUCAUAUAGUGAGCGUCUUCCUGCCUCUCCUGAUGGAAAUUGCUCUUGUGGGAAGGCCCAUCUUCUCUGGCUGUGAAUGUCUUUUCGUUCAUAUGGGUCUGUGUGGCCUUGCUUUGUGAAGCCUUCUGUUUUCCCAAACUCACAGGCUCAAACCUGACAUGAAGGCCAGCCACAGAAGCACAAGAAGUUUCGAAAUUUAUGGAGGAACCGCAGGAAGUUCACU